UGCCGCUACUCCAUUUUUAUAGAGGCGGGCACCGACAAAAGGAGGAGAAUCCGCCAGCCGGCGGUGCGGCAGUGUGGAGACCUGCCGUAAACUCCCGGGAGCAGAGCUCUCCCGGCGGGGAGGUUUUCGGAGCGGAGGCGCGGAGACUACGGCGAAAAAUUAUGUC
rnacentral:ncRNA from 1 species